rnacentral:rRNA from 1 species
AUUGAACGCUGGCGGCAUGCCUUACACAUGCAAGUCGAACGGUAACAGGUCUUCGGAUGCUGACGAGUGGCGAACGGGUGAGUAAUACAUCGGAACGUGCCCGAUCGUGGGGGAUAACGGAGCGAAAGCUUUGCUAAUACCGCAUACGAUCUACGGAUGAAAGCAGGGGACCGCAAGGCCUUGCGCGGACGGAGCGGCCGAUGGCAGAUUAGGUAGUUGGUGGGUUAAAAGCUUACCAAGCCGACGAUCUGUAGCUGGUCUGAGAGGACGACCAGCCACACUGGAACUGAGACACGGCCCAGACUCCUACGGGAGGCAGCAGUGGGGAAUUUUGGACAAUGGGCGAAAGCCUGAUCCAGCCAUGCCGCGUGCAGGAUGAAGGCCUUCGGGUUGUAAACUGCUUUUGUACGGAACGAAAAGACUCUUUCUAAUAAAGAGGGUCCAUGACGGUACCGUAAGAAUAAGCACCGGCUAACUACGUG